CUCCCCUCCCCUCCCCUCCCCUCCCCUCCCCUCCCCUCCCCUAGCGGUCGCGGGAGCGACUUCAGGGGCGUGCGAGCAGUAGCAGAUCCCCACGGGACACUGUAGGCGCCCGGCCACGGCGGGGUGAUGCCGAGCUGCCGCCCGGAGCUCCCAGAUCCUCGCUGCAGGUGGUCCCCGCAGAGCGCGGGGAAGAGGAAGCCCUAUAGCCUGAGCUGGCUCCAGGGGUUGCACCCCCCUUUGCGGGGUGGGUGCUUGUUGAUAGUCCGAGGCGCAGCUUUGGGGAGGCUACUGGGGGAUAUAAUGGGGUCAAUGAAGCUGGUGGAUGGAUGGGUGGAUCCAAGGAUGGGUGGAAAUGUGUGUGUGUAAGCACUGCGAGGCCCAGCACAGCCAGAGCUUUGCCCCUGCUGAUAAUGGAAAAGGCUGUUUCUGCAUCAUGGGUCCCAGGACACUUCCCUACUCACAUGGGGCAGCUUGAACAGCUCAUUGGCAGGUGGUCCUGCAUCCUUACAGUAGGAGGAUGGCCUCUAGCAGCCUGCACACAUUUCCCUCAAGGUGAUCAAGGUGGGGAAAAGCAACCAGCUGGUAGCAAGCUGUCCUUGAGUUCAUGGACCUGAACUCAAUGAUGAUGUCUAGAGUGUCUAAGGUCAGUCCUUAUUGUCCUUAAGGUAGUGGCUGUUGCUGUUGCAAGAGGUGCAAGAGCUCCCGUUCACUUUAGCCAAGCCAGUGGUAAGGAUCUCAUGGAAUGUGGCACAUCAGUGGGGAGAGAAGCAGGGAACUGGGUGAUGUCAGUGGUGCUUCAGCAGGAGCACAGUCUUUUCAGUCAUCAGGUGAACAAACUUGACAUGGCAGGUGGGGAAAAAAAUUCCCUAAGACUGUUGUGAAAGUAUCAGUCCAUCAUUUUAUUAUUAGCAUGCUUAUCAUCUUCAUUGACUUGACAGCCAUUGGCACUCAACAGGUUCCCCAGGAGCAGAGCAAAGUCCUUGUUGUUGUUCCCUUCCUGUGUCAUGCUUAAAUGACCCUGGCCAGAACACCAGCACAACUAUCUGGGUGCUUGUGAGCAGGAAAGUGUGCCAGUGUGAGCAGGUAAAGGCCACUUGCUUGAAGAGUUCAUGGCUAUCACCAUUCCCUCUCAUCAGCUGUCACAUGGAAUUCUGGAUUGGCUUUCCUUGGUCCUGAAGGAGCUCAGCUUCACCAAACUGGUAUUUGGCCCCCGACUUUGUCCCAGUGGCAAGUGGCUGGUGUUUGGGCCUAAUUUCCUGACCUUGCCAGCAUUCUGCUGCCUCAGCUGCCCAGAAGCUGCCUUUUCCCUGCACAAGCACAUGAGCAGUGAGACCUGCCCUCUGCCAGUCUCAGUUUUCCAUCCUUCUCUUGAUCGUGAAGGAUGUGAUUGCCAGACCAGGGAGCAUUGCAAAGAGCAAAACUGUAGUUUUCCAAGCUUGCCCAAGAGCUCUUGGAAGGGAUUUUACCAGAAAGCCCUUUGCUGGCUCAGCCCAGGACACCUGCAGGGUCCAACCCCUGCAGCAAAACUGCAGUAAGUAAGCUCUGCAUCCCCCCUGCCAGCUGGGGCUGCUGGCACCACUCCCCCCCCCCCCCCCCAGACUGGGAAUUCCCUCCUAGUUGCCAUCUCCAUGGCAGCAGGUCAGUGACAAGGCAAGGGACUGUGAUGGUUCCAGGGUGUGGGAUCCUCAGCCCAGAGUGGGCAAUGUGAGGGCUUGUGCACUGAGGGCUUGCAUCUGCUUCUGUGAGAGUGCUUAGCUGCUGUCCUCUCUUGCUGCCUGGGUAGUGCUCAGCUGGGGACUUUGGCUCUGCUGCUGCUCCAAGGGCUCUUCUAGGCCAUCCCAGAUAUUUCAGGGGGCCAAACCCUGAGCAGGAGUAGAGGGAGCAGCCAGAGGAGGGCAAGGGUUGCUGGAGGAUGGGAGGAGACAGAGGUCUGGGGGUGCCUGACUCCAGCUGGGGUCCCCCUAGCCUUGUUUGACCAUCCCCCAAGCUGUGCCAUCCACAGGCAUGAUGGAGGCACCCCUCCUUCCCCAUAGACUGUGCUGGGGAAAAUGGGCCUCUCACUAGGGCUGCCGCUAGCUCAUGGUGUCUACUGGGAGGUAUUUGAGGCUGCAGCAUCCACUGUGACACAAGGUGGCCACCAAGGUUGCCUCCAUAAAGAAGGCACUGGAGAAGACCUCAGGAAGUUCCUGCCCCAUCGGAUGCAGGCAGGGUGAACAAGUGGUAUUGGUAGGGGGCAGUGGGAGGGGCUCCUGAGCAUCAUGAAGUGCUUCAGGGGAAGGGAGGCAUUGAAGGGUCCCUGGGGCUUCAGGGGCUAAGGAGGGAAGUGGAAGCACCCUUUGGGGAGCGUCAUGGGCAGCAGUGCUACUGGAUGGCUCAGUGGGGCGGGGGCUUUUUUGGGUUCAAAUGGUUGGGAGGCAAUGGGCAGGGAUUCAGAGCGGCAGAGAGCUAUUGGAAGCUCCGGGUGGAUGGCAGCCUCACUUUGUAGGGAGCUGCCAGGGGUUAGGGAAACAGUGGUGGAAAAAGGGCCAGGGGGUGCAAGGCAAAGGGGAGCCAGUGGAGGGCAGGGCUGUUCCACAAGCCCCUGCGUCCAUGGGUCCCGAGGGGCUUGUGCCGCAAGUGCCUCAUUACGCUGAACUAAAGCGCGGAGCCGGCCCUUUCCGGGCACAUCCCGGAGCGGGUGCUUGGCGGAUCAUGUUCCCCAGCCCACGUACUGAAGGGCUUCCUAGAAGGCUCUCUUUAUCUCCACAUCACUGACUGUUGCACUGCACUCUUACUCUCCCUCCACACUUCUGCUUGCUCCACAUCUCCCAGUCCAAGCUCUCCUCCUCCUAGAGGAGCCCUUGGCCCCUCAUCUACCCACAGCUUUUUCCUCUGCCCCUGACCUUCCCUACCCCACACCUGCCAUCUGUCCCUGCCUGCCCACAGCACAUGCUGCCUCUCCUCUGCAGGGACUUAAACCUGAAAAACAUUCUCCUGGACAGUGAGGACAACAUGAAGGUCUCCAUCUCCAGAUUUUUCCAGAAGGGUGGUCCUGCAGGAUGUCAGUGGGGAGUCUCUUGGGACCUCUGCACACCAAAGCUGCCCACCAAGGCAGUGCUGAGCUAGUCCUUCUGCCAAUCCUGUGCUUAUGCCUGUCCUGCGAUCCUGCAGGAGAAGCCCCGUGACCUCUUCCUGGAAAACACAUGAAGUGCUGAAGUCAUCCUCUGCACCUUGCUCCAGGAUUACAUAUAUUGUGAUGCCACCAACCUGUGGCACGUCCUGCACCAGACCCAGACGUCUUCUGUCUUCCCUCAAAGCACCUCUCAGCUGCUGAGCUGCUCCAGAUCCACUGGGUCUCUUGGUUCCUGCUCCCAGAGCACCUGCCUUUGGGCACCUAGGCUGCCAAGCAACCAUUUUGAUUUUGGAAGGGAUUUUACCAGAAAGCCCUUUUGCAGUUUUGAGGCCCCCUCAACUUCAGGGGGCUGCUAAUAAAAGCCUUGAACCUU